CUCUUAUUAGCUCAAUGGUAGAGCAAAAUACUCCUAAUAUUAAGAUUCAAGUUCAAGUCUUGAAUAGGAGU
rnacentral:tRNA from 1 species